UUUCUCAUACCAGAAAGUACACCACUAAAAGUCACAGAUGAGCAAGGCAUAGAGGUGGACGAGGAUGUCUUUCCAGAACUUGCAACAGCCAAAGAAAUAUGUUUUAUCAUCUACACUGAAAAUGAUGUUCCUGUCCUGCAGCGAGAAAGUGAAGGGCCUUCCUCUCCAAGUUUAACAGAUACAUUGUCAAUCUCAAGCAGUCUAAGUAGCGACACAAGUGAUGCUGGAUUUCAAAUGAUUCAACCUGUCAUGGAAUUUACCCGUGCAAGAAAUACUGUGGAGCAGAUUCUCACUUCCAAGCCUGCAGGGAUGACUGUGAUCAAAGAGUAUGAAGAGACU